AGACCUACAUCCAGACAGGAUGAUCACAGCCAAUGUGAUUUGGUGAUGGGAGCAGUGAGCAGUGCAGGCAUGUUGGAUUCAAAGGAUGCUCGAAUCAAUUCUCUCGUCACCUUUGUACCGUCCACGUUUUUGCCCUCGGGCCGUGUUGAAGAGAAUGGACAGUCAUCUGAAAAAGACAAUUCUGUUACGUACCACGUAUACAGCUCAAUCCCCGACCGACCAGCAACAUCAGCCCAGCCGGAUGGGUUGUACAGUCUUCUGCAAGCACACUGACACUACACCACUGGCUCUCUGUGGCUAUUUCUCACAGAAAUAAUCUUUCUUGCAGGAUGACCUUUAUUUAUCAAACACCAUGUUACUGUAAAUAAGUAUAUAAUACAUCUGCUGCAGUACCGUUUCUAUUUAUAAGCAACAUAAGUGGCUGCCAUCCCCUAGCAAAAUGUGUAGAACUGCAGGAAAUAAGCUUUAAAACUGAAUUUCUUUCUACCCCAUGGCAUAAUGUGUACAAAUGCGGGAAAUUAGCUUUAUAACUGCAAAGUUCCCUCCGCCCCAUGGCAAAAUGAGUAGAAUUUCUGGACAUUAAUUUUAAAGCUGCACAUUUUUCACUAAAAUGUUUUUCUUUAGAACUUUAGAAGCAUAAAUACACUAUACAUUUCCUACAUCUGUACAAUGUUUCGAAACACACUAUAGCCCAACAGUAAAGAUGGUGGAUCAGGCUAUGGGGAUGGCUUAUUUUGUUUUAAAAAUUGGUGGGUCCGCCCUCACCUCCUAAUCCCUCUUCGAUAAGAUUCUUGAUAUACAGUAAAUACAAAAUCCUACAUUUUUUUACUCUGUUCGAAACGCUCUCUUCUGUAAAACAAAAAAGCAUGCAAAAUACAUUGAAU